AUUGAACGCUGGCGGCAGGCUUCACACAUGCAAGUCGCGCGGAGCGGCGGACGGGUGAGUAAUGCAUAGGAAUCUGCCUGGUAGUGGGGGAUAAAGUACGGAAACGGGCGCUAAUACCUCAUCCUAUCCGAUGAGCCUAGGUCGGAUUAGCUCGUUGGUGGGUUAAAUGCCUACAAAGGCGACGAUCCGUAACUGGUCUGAGAGGCUGAUCAGUCACACUGGAACUGAGACACGGUCCAGACGACUACGGGAGGCAGCAGUGGGGAAUAGUGGACAAUGGGCGAAAGCCUGAUGCAGCCAUGCCGCGUGUGUGAAGAAGGUCUUCGGAUUGUAAAGCACUUUAAGUUGGGAGGCGUUACCAACAGAAUAAGCACCGGCUAACUUCGUGCCAGCAGCCGCGGUAAUAC
rnacentral:rRNA from 1 species